UACUGCUUCGGCAGUAGCACUAUAGCUAGAAAUUUGGAACGAUACAGAGAAGAUUAGCAUGGGCCCCUGCGCAGGAUGACACGCAAAUUCGUGAACGUUCCAUAUUUUUU
rnacentral:snRNA from 1 species